rnacentral:rRNA from 1 species
UACGGAGGGAGCUAGCGUUGUUCGGAAUUACUGGGCGUAAAGCGCACGUAGGCGGCUUUGUAAGUUAGAGGUGAUAGCCUGGAGCUCAACUCCAGAAUUGCCUUUAAGACUGCAUCGCUUGAAUCCAGGAGAGGUGAGUGGAAUUCCGAGUGUAGAGGUGAAAUUCGUAGAUAUUCGGAAGAACACCAGUGGCGAAGGCGUCUCACUNGGACUGGUAUUGACGCUGAGGUGCGAAAGCGUGGGGAGCAAACAGGAUUAGAUA